GACGAACGCUGGCGGCGUGCUUAACACAUGCAAGUCGAACGAUGAAGCCGGAGCUUGCUCUGGUGAAUUAGUGGCGAACGGGUGAGUAACACGUGAGUAACCUGCCCUUGACUCUGGGAUAACUGCGGGAAACUGUAGCUAAUACCGGAUACGACCCUCGGAGGCAUCUCCUGGGGGUGGAAAGAAUUUCGGUCAGGGAUGGACUCGCGGCCUAUCAGCUAGUUGGUGAGGUAAGGGCUCACCAAGGCGACGACGGGUAGCCGGCCUGAGAGGGUGACCGGCCACACUGGGACUGAGACACAGCCCAGACUCCUACGGGAGGCAGCAGUGGGGAAGAUUGCACAAUGGGCGCAAGCCUGAUGCAGCAACGCCGCGUGAGGGAUGACGGCCUUCGGGUUGUAAACCUCUUUUAGUAGGGAAGAAGCGAAAGUGACGGUACCUGCAGAAAAAGCACCGGCUAACUACGUGCCAGCCGCCGCAGUAA
rnacentral:rRNA from 1 species